GACGAACGCUGGCGGCGUGCCUAAUACAUGCAAGUUGAGCGCUGACGGAUGGUACUUGUACCAACUGGAUGAGCAGCGAACGGGUGAGUAACGCGUGGGGAAUCUGCCUUUGAUCGGGGGACAACAUUUGGAAACGAAUGCUAAUACCGCAUCAAACCUUUAAACACAAGUUUUAAGUUUGAAAGAUGCCAUUGCAUCACUCAAAGAUGAUCCGCCGUUGAAUUAGUUAGUUGGUGGGGUAAAGGCCCACCAAGGCGAUGAUACGUAGCCGGCCUGAGAGGUGGAUCGGCAACAUUGGAACGGGAAACCGGCCCAAACUCCUCCGGGAGGAACCAGAGGGGAACUUUGGCCAUUGAGGGAAAGCCUGCCCAAGCAAUCCCGCGUGGGUGAAGAAGGUUUUCGGUUUGUAAAGCCCUUUUGUUGGGAAAGAAGAUCGGGAGGGUGGAAACCCGCUCAAGUGACGGUAACUAACCAAGAAGGGACGGCUAACUUCGUG
rnacentral:rRNA from 1 species